UCUCGCUGCCUUCCCCGCGAAAGCGGGGAUACAGGGGCCGUCGUGCCUGUGACCCUGGACCCCCGCUUUCGCGGGGGAAGCAAAUGAA
rnacentral:pre_miRNA from 1 species